GACGAACCUGACAAACGUUAUUCGGAAUUACUGGGCUUAAAGGGUGCGUAGGCGGCGCGACAAGUUGGGUGUGAAAUCCCUCGGCUCAACCGAGGAACUGCGCUCAAUACUGUCGUGCUCGAGGGAGACAGAGGUGAGCGGAACUUAGGGUGGAGCGGUGAAAUGCGUUGAUAUCCUAAGGAACACCGGCAGCGAAAGCGGCUCACUGGGUCUUUUCUGACGCUGAGGCACGAAAGCUAGGGUAGCGAACGGG
rnacentral:rRNA from 1 species